GGGAUGCUAACCUGGGGCCUGGGGCCCUCCCAUGUCAUUCAGAUCUCAUCCUACCUCAAUCAGAAGCAGAUGGGGACACCUGGGCAGCCCCAGCUCUAGGCAACAGGCAUCUCUCUGAGGACAGGGAUAGGCCACGCAUGGGUAAAGGCCAUGGCUGAGCAGGGCAAGACUGUAUGAAGCUGGAGCCUGUCCCCACUGUGACCUCAAUGGGGCAGGGCUAUGCAGUCCUGAGUCUCAGCUGGGGCCUUGUGCCCCAGACAGCUGGAGAAGCCCAGGGCAUAGCCAGGUCUGUGCACAUUCUUAAAGCUGGGCAGAAGCCUCCCCUCUUAGACAGAGAUGAGUGCCACAGAAGAUGAGAAUUGUCAUUCAAGGAUGAGAAGGAAAUAAGCUGUGGACAGAGGACUGGAGAAUGCAGGGAAAGGAGGGACAGAGAUCAAAUGAAGAACAAAUUUGUGCAGUAGCUGUGUUUUGCUGGGUAGAUCAUAGCUCUGAUGUGUUGGGAAUUAAAGACAUCACAGAAUUGUAGAAAUUGGAAGGCAUCUCUGUAUAACUUCUUAGUUGCAACCCCUGCUAAAGCAGGUUCACUUACAUAGAAAAGCGUCCAUGUGAUUUUUCAGUAUUUCUUGAGAAGGAGACCCC
rnacentral:lncRNA from 1 species